GUUUUUAAAAGAGGUUUUUGUGUAGUCAUGAUAGGAUGAUGGAAAACAUUUGAAAAAUAAAUACAUAAACAAUAGCGUAUUUUGGUCAAGUUCGGGUAAAUAGGGGCUAAAUGUAACUAUUUAUUAAAUAGGAUAUGUAAAAAAUGAUCACCCUGGUAGAGACAGAUAAAAAUGCCUAAAAGGAAGUGUUGUUUUUUUGGACAAACUAAUAACAGUGUUCACUGUUGACAAUGGUAUAAAGAAUGGAUGAGAUACAACCAGUAACAAUUUACCUUUGGUUUGAACUGGAUUUAGAUGGUAAACAUGUAUAUCAAAAAAGUUGCCAACAAAC